AACGAACGCUGGCGGCAUGCCUAACACAUGCAAGUCGAACGAGAUCUUCGGGUCUAGUGGCGCACGGGUGCGUAACGCGUGGGAAUCUGCCCUUUGGCUCAGAAUAACAGUUGGAAACGACUGCUAAUACCGGAUGAUGACGAAAGUCCAAAGAUUUAUCGCCAGAGGAUGAGCCCGCGUAGGAUUAGCUAGUUGGUGUGGUAAAGGCGCACCAAGGCGACGAUCCUUAGCUGGUCUGAGAGGAUGAUCAGCCACACUGGGACUGAGACACGGCCCAGACUCCUACGGGAGGCAGCAGUGGGGAAUAUUGGACAAUGGGCGAAAGCCUGAUCCAGCAAUGCCGCGUGAGUGAUGAAGGCCUUAGGGUUGUAAAGCUCUUUUACCCGGGAUGAUAAUGACAGUACCGGGAGAAUAAGCUCCGGCUAACUCCGUGCCAGCAGCCGCGGUAA
rnacentral:rRNA from 1 species